rnacentral:lncRNA from 1 species
GAUGGACAACACGCCAGUGAAGCAGGCCCAGUUUACCUUGACUGGUGGGGACGACCAGAUGGUAAAGUAUAUGAUAGAUUUCAGAGUUUUGUUUAGUUCUAUCUAUACACAGGUGCCGAGCUGCCCUGCCCAAGCCAAAGGGAGGACAGCUGCAUAUGAUCUCCCCUGGCGACUGGAUCGUGGUGAAGAAUCUGAGACGAAUGCACUGGCACCAACCUCGGUGGAGGGGACCAUACCAAGUGCUGCUGACCCCUCCGACUAUGGUCAGGAUCGCUGAAAGGGACAACUGGAUCCAAGGAUCCCACUGCCUGAACGUGGGCAACCCUGAGGACGAUCAGAUAUGAGUUCAACAGACUUGGACAUCACAAUGGUCCACAGUUCAACAGACUUGGACAUCACAAUGGACCACAGUUCAACAGGCCUG